CCCAAAUAUAGGCGUCACGGUCUACAAGAUCACCAAAUCUAGUAGCUAAGAGGGAAACCGGUGCGGCACGCUCAGUGCUAAAUCCGGUGCUGCCCCCGCAACUGUCAGCAGCGAGUUCGCUUCCAACCAACGUCACUGGUGCUCCGCAUCGGGAAGACCGGAAGCGAACGGCGACCUGCGAGCCAGGAGACCUGCCGCGACACCAAAACGUCC
rnacentral:ncRNA from 2 species